rnacentral:misc_RNA from 1 species
UGGUCCUUUACCCAAGGUGAGAAAGUUGAGAAACGCCAAAGGUGCUAUGGCUGCUCCUAGUUCGACUCCUGCAGAUAUCAAGUAUCAAAGUGGGAAACAAAAAGGGAGUGGGCAUGCUUCUGAUAGUGGAAUCUCUGAGAAACUCAAAGUUGGAGGCACGGGCACCUCCGAAUCUCCUUCAAGUGGUAAAAGAAAAACAUAUGGAGAAGUCUCCACCAAGAGACUAUAUGAAUCCUUCAAGGACAAUCAGUAUCCUGACCGUGACGCAAAGGAGAAGUUGGGUAAAGAAUUAGGGCUAACAGCUCACCAGGUCAGUAAAUGGUUUGAAAAUGCUCGUCAUUGCCAUCGUCAUUCUCCUAACUGGAAAAAAAUUAUGAGUCAUAAAGUGUCGGAAGAAUCUCCAUCCAAAU